rnacentral:misc_RNA from 1 species
AAGACUAUAGACCUGCGGAGUACCUGCGGAAGGAUCAUUAACGAGUUGCAAAACUCCCAAACCCUUGUGAACCUUACCUAUACCGUUUCUUCGGCGGGCGGCUUCCGCCCUAACCUGCAACCCCUCGGGGACUGCAGACCCGCCGGAGGCACCUAUACUCUUGAUUUUUGUUGGCCUCUCUGAGUACACUUUUAAAUAAGUCAAAACUUUCAACAACGGAUCUCUAGAUCGGAAGAGCAC